UUUACCUGGCCUUCCAAUCCUCAUUCCAUUUCCGUAUCUAGUUAUCUUGAUUUUAUCUGUGGACUUCAGGAUACAAUGUAAAGUUAAGGGCUGAUCUAAAAAAAACAAAUAUGUGGGAGACAAGUUCGAACCAGGGUUUCUGGCCACUGUUGUGUGGGGGUCCUACAAGGAGCAGGCAGCAGUGGCCAGUACAGCUGUGGGUGUAAUGCCUGCUGUGUGCGAGAGCCUCAGCGGCUGCGUGCCAGUCAGAGAGGACUGGUUUCCAAAUUCAAACAUGCUCGAACAAAUCAGUGACUGACACUGUAUUUUACCCAAAGGUGUCUCAUGGUAUGUAAUCUUUAUUUCAAGCUCUGUGGCCUUUUAAACUCUGUGCUGAUCCUCUCACCUUUAAGGCCACUUUAACUGAUCUGCACCUCACAGGCCACUGCAUCCUUUCUAUUUUUCACAGAGUACAGAUGUCACCUUUGGAGAACCCCUUAGGUUGAGCUUAGCUCACAGGAAAACUUCUGAGAAAUCAAUUUUUCUGCAAGAACCAGGCAGUUCUCUCUCAUAUUUAUACACAUCCUGCCCUAUGAAAUAGAGGUGCAAGGUGCAUUUGUUGCUGGAGAUGAUCACUCAGUAAAGUGUCUUCUACUUAGGGCUUAAAAAAAAAUCUUGGCAAAAAAAUGAUCAACAGAUUCUGAUAGUCUCAUUCAUAUUCCCAGACACCAAUUCUGAAAAGUCCAAAAGCAUUUUUCAUUAGUAUACUCAUUCAUUCAACAGAAUACCCAUUGGCCACUUCCUGUAUGCCAGGCACUGUGCUGUUGCUGUGGGUGCACAAAUGGAAGGCACAAUGCCCACCCUGGAGGCGCUCUUUGUUGAAUACAGAGCACACUAGGGAAGAGAGCAGUGCAUGGUUUCCAAUGACUGUGAUGCAGAGUGCAGCCCAGAGCCGCAAGGAAGGCGUCCCACGGAGGGCCUGUGACCUGGCCAUUUGGAGGGUGAAUAGGAGUCACAGGGAUUUGAUGGAAGGAAGGAGGGUUCAGAAAAAGUAAAUGACUUUCAGCAGAAGAGAGCCUUUGCUAAACCUGGAACCAUCAAGAAACUUAGUGAUCUCGGAGCCUUAGAGGCUGCUAGGAGCCCGAACCCACCCCCCAGUAAUCAGACCUGGGUUCCACAGCACCCAGAUGUGCACACAUCAUUCCCUGCCUCCACUUCUCAUCGCUGUCUCAUCUCACUGUCUGCCAGACACCUUCCCCCAUCCCACGUCGUAGACCCCUCACUCAUAAGGAGAUAUGCUGCUGUCUUAUGGUGAGUGAGAAGUACAAGACUGAGGGGAGAAGCUGCUUGGAGCUCUACUCCUGGGCCACUUGGAGAGACAUCUGUUUACUUAGCUGCACCGUUCUUUGCCCUGUCCCAGGCACUGAGAACCUCACAUAUUUUAUUUAGUUAUUAAGCAAUCCUAUCAGGAAGGCAUAAUUAUGAUCCUAUUUUAGUAUGUUAUGCAAACACAAUGCGAUGUCUAAUACAACACAAUUAUGUCACAAACUUUAAAAAAUACAAUUGAGGGAACAGAAACCCAGAGAAGUUAAAUAACUUGCCUGAGGCCACACAGUUUUGUGAGUAGUAGCCAGGACCUGAACUGUCAACUCAUUGCUCCCCGCCACCCAAGUGCCUGGUCAGCACCUCCCCAUCAGGACCCAAAGAUGCCUGUGGAAUUUUACAUGCAUUUCAGUGCAACUUUUUAAAGCAUGUUGGAUCAGUUGGCCAGAUUUAUAACUUGUGAUUUACAGCUGACUUUGAUAAGCCACAAAUGCUAGUGUCAUGUUUUAAUGAGACUGAAGGCAUGAACGAGCAGAUUCUACUCUUGAGGCUGUUGUGGGAACACACCGGCCGCCGACAUUGCACUAACCCCUCUGAAGGCCGGCAUUGUCGCCAGGCUCAUUAGCAUCCACGCUCCUCGCUGGGCCGUUGCUGCUCGCUAGCUCACCAGCUGUUCCUGCUGCUCAGUACAAUGUCGGAUGUGUUCAGCUCACUGGGUUCCUGUCCUCGCCGCCCGGAGGAGACAGCCCUUCCGCUGGGGAUACACACGUGGCUGCCUGUCAGCGGUGGCACCGAAUAAAGUAAUAGGCCUUCGCAUGGCAUAUGGUGUCUGGAUUCGUACAAGAUGCAAAACUGUUCUGCAGCUAAUGCACGAUGACUCAUAGCAUUGCUAAUUUUUCAAACAAAAACUGACUUCCACACCCACACUUUUAACCCCUCCAGCUAAAAAGUCUUAAGUUGCAAAGCUCUAGAAGCGUGACUUUUGGGUUGCUGUAUAAAAUUGUUAUACUUACUGAAAGCAUAUGAAAUGACUUGCUUUACUUUGGAUUGAAUUCAUCUUAAAUUUACCUCCUCCAUAAAUGGGGAAUUUUCAAGCUUUAUCUUUCAAUUUCUUUUUCACAUUUGAAGAGUCUAAACAGUUUGGUAGAUUUGUUUUAAAAGCUGUUAUUAGAAAAUCGGUCGGAAGGCAUUAUAUUAGUUCAGCACUUGAAACUGUUUAUUAGAAGUUAACUUUCUCUUUUAAAAGUUUCAUAGAAACUGUUGCCUAAUAUUCUUAUCAAUUCAGGUAUGGAGCAUUUUGAGCUCCUCACAUUAUCAUAUUUGAAAGCUGUAACAGAAUGUUGAUCCUUUUAUGGAACAUGAUUUUGCAUAGUCUUUUCUAGUAUACUAAAUCCAAAGCCCAUUUAAACAACCACAUUCUGGCAAUACAAAUGUAGAUUAUAAAUUUAUAUUAAAAUGGCCAUUUUUCAAACUAGAAAAAUACAUGGGAUCUUCUGAAAGAAUGUCCUUUCUCAACUUUGAAUCAGUUGUGCUAAUAGAUAGCUACAUUCAAUCUCAGACUUUAGGUCCUAAAAUAAAGCAGCUAUUUGCAUUUAUAUAAUCAGGCCUCCCUUUGAAGUCAUGAUCAAAAUAUUGGUUCUUUUAUAAAUAACCUUUUAUUGAACAUUUUAUUUAAACAUUUCAGAGGCAAGAAUUGCCAUCAUAAAAUGAUUAGGCAGUUUCUAAUUAUGGAUCAGUAAGUGUUUUGUAGUCAGUCUGGCACAUGACACUUUUGCAAUCAGAAUUUGGCAAAUGGAUGAAUUUAUAAAGGAACUUCAACCUAGGAGAGUAAUACAGAUUUUUUUUAAAAUGAUUACUUUUUGCAGCCCCAAAAGAUGUCUUUCAGGGAGCAGGCUAGAGACUCUGAAUUGAUGUUUCAUUUAGACUCAUGUUUGAGUCUAAAGUUUUUUGCUUUCUGAUCUACAGAUAUUAAUUCAAAUGUGCAUCUAACUUAUAAAGGGCAUUCUAUUCUCUAAAAGAGAAUCAAAAAAAUAUAAAAAUUCUAAAUAGGCUUCACAUUCUAUAUUCCAGUUUUGAUACCAUUUUUCCAGCAUGCUCUCUAAUUUUGCCCUUUGCCAUCAGAAAUAACCUGGUAUGCAUUUGAUGUAGCUAAAAAUGUAUUAGACACUUAAAAUUUUCCACGUUUGGCAUAUAUGAGGAUUUCCAAUUUUGCUUUCACUGCCUUGAGUUUAAGACCCAUAUUUGUUGUUACUCCUACUGGUACCUUCAUUUUAUCCUAUUACCACUCAUUUUUAUGAAAUGAGGGCAAAAUUCCAUGGAGUAUUCAAAUAAUGACCUAAGGACAGAAGUGAAAACACUACUGAGCCUGAACUCUUGGUCAGUACUUAGUGUCUGCAUGUAACUGAUAAAAUGCUCUCUCAUCAGCCAAUGGACCAGAGGGCAAACUCAGCUCCAAAAGACAGUUUAGGACAUUAGUGCAUGAUGUACAAAAGCACAGGCUGAUCACAGGCACCCAGAAGGACCAUUAUUCUCACUCUUGGUGACAGCCUUGCAGAAUGAGACUGUGUUAACCCACAGAUGGGGAGAGUGAAGCUCGAGGAAGCCGGGUCUUGGCCUGGGGCCCACAGCCAGGGCAGGGCUGGGAUGAGAGCCCAGACCAACCUGACUACUAUGGCUGUUUCUCACUUGUGCACACUUUUGACCUAAGAAUAGGAGACCAUCAAAAUUAUACAGCUUUGAGAAAGUGAAGCAAUUCCAAUUAAUUUUAGCUUGUUCUGUCAUUAUUGUUACCAAAUGGAUUCUACCCUUUAAACCUUGUUUGUAUGGAAUAAAGACAAAAACAAAAUUAUUGUAAGUUAGGAUGGAAAGUAUUCCCAUUUUGAUACCAUGUGUAUAUCUCAUAUCAGAAUACAUGUACCUUCCAAAUUAAAAAGCAGAGAAAAUAUUAAGUUUAAAUAUUCUUACUGACAUAUCCCACUUAGAGUCUAUCCCAAAAUAAGCACCUAAUUGAUGUUACUCAGUGUGCUUUUCUCUUGAUAAAUAGUUGAGGACACAGUUUCAUCACAGUGAUUUUUCCAGUUUAUUGCUAGCAAGAUAUUUAUUUGUAGGUGUGGAAUCCAUUUAUAUUCCACCUCUUUCUAAAAUAGAUUUGAAAGACCUUACAUGAAGGUCAUGUGUAAUGAGAAAGAGAAAAUCAAAGCCCAGGAGUGAGGGUGAAAAUAAGAGCAUCUGAAGGUAUACAGAGCAUCCACAGUCAUGGCUGCGGUAGCAAAGCAGGGCAUCCCCAUUGACUACUGCUGACCUCUAAAGCUUGCUGUAAGGUGUGACUACCACUUGUCUUCGGGCCAUUCUUGUUCCAAAGUUGUCAAUUACUUUAAAUGAAAUUAUAUCUUGUCUAAGUUGGAAGACAUAAUAGGUCACUGUAGUGAAAUAUGUUCCAGACAACAGCAUAUAUUCAUAGGAAAUUUUUAAUAUCAAAAUGAUUUUCUAUUCUACCCCAUGAGUUUAAAAGAUAUCUUUGGAGCAGACAUGCAAGUUCAUGUGCAUCACAAGCUAAUUAAUAAGAUAAAUAAAUAAAUAAAAAGUUAAGGGCUUGACAGUAGCUGACAAAGUGAAGAAUUAAUUAGUGACGGGGAAAGCAUGAUUGAAAAAUAAUCUUAAUGCCCACAUUAGCUGGGUAGCUGCUUUUGCUAAGCCUUUUAGUUUAAAAAGCCCAAGUACCUGACAUUUUGCAUCUGUUUUUCUGUGAAGAUAAAAGGAAACUUGAGUGUCUCAUUCUCAAUAAUGGAUUUUAUGUGACAAAAAGGUUUCUGCUCUGUUCAUUUCCAUGGCCAGGCAUUUUUAUAUUAUUGCCCCACUAACUGUUAUUUCACGUUUAACUCUUUGUAGACUCGUAUGGCUUUCCUCAGCCCUGGGGUUGGUAUGGGAUUGAAUGAUGUCCAAGGUGCCCUGUGUACUAGGCACUUCCAUCCAUGCUGGUCUUCUUGUUACCAUGUUGCAGGACUUGUUGCCCUAUAAUGCAGCUCUUCUCUCAGGUUUGUUUACUUGUGAUCACUAUGUAAUCAUUCACUUUAUGGAGCUUCAUUAAGGACUGCAAACCUCUGUCCCAAUUUAGCGUCAUUCAAGCGUAGGUAGCAUCCAUCUGCUCCACCCGCACUGUUUAAUUAAUGAACUUCAUAAUGUGUUUUUGCCUGUAAAAGCGCUCUGUCUCCUCAGGUUGUUGAAUGAGAUGUGCAUUCCAGGUUUUCUGUGUUAAGAUUCUAGAAAGACCGCCAUGGGAGGUGCUAAUUAUGUACCCACCAAACUCCUGUUAAUUCUAAACUUGAAGGCAGAUUUACUUUAUUUUUUUUUUCAAUAUAUAUUCAUAAACACAAAGCCUGGUCACUUUUUGAGUAAGAAAUCACUGGCCAGUUUUCAUAGUCUUUCCCUUCGGUAGGAGGAAAGAUUAACAUUUUUUAAAAGCUAUAUUUUCUUUCAGUCAAGUAAAAAUAUACUUGUUACUUUGAGGUGUUUCCUUUUGAAAUUAAAGUUAUGGAAAUGCUUGAAUGUCAAAAAUGCUACUUCUGUUUUCCAAUAUUUCUUUCCAUAGAAUUGCCUGGGAAAUUUUGUAGAAUAGAUUCUUGUAAAAGUAAUGGAGUAACAACUGUUUUUCUUGGAAAAUAGUAAGACUCAAGUAAUACUUUUUCUUUUUGAAUUUCGUUAUCUGUUUAAUUUUUAGUGUGAUUAGUGCGUUAUAAAAUUCUACCUGGAUUUAGAGGUGUUUUGUUGGCACCUGUUCAAAGACCUGAUAAAUUUGGUAUUAUAUGGAAAAUAGCAUAUAACUAGCCACAUUUAUUUACUUAACACUUUUAUUACCAACUAAGACCAGGAGCCUAAGCCUGAUUUUCAACAACCAGACAACCUAUGGUUCAUGUGCCUUUUCUUAAAGCCUGUUUAAUAUUGAGAUUAAACUCCUCUCUACCCUGUCAAGUACUCUCAAGUCCUGGAAUUUCUUUCUAUCUUGAAAUAUGAUAGGGUUCUACAUUCAUGUUUUAUUCAGCCAUUUUCAUCACAGUGGAAAAUAUAUCUGAAUACCCAUUUUUCAAAAAUAAUUUUUAUCUACCCCCAUCCAAACUGGGGAGGGAAGAGAACUAUAUCUGUGUUCUCAUCUAGCCAUUAUAAAUAGUUAACACAUUGGGAAAUCAAUGUUAAAGCUUCUUCACACUAAGUACCAUGAGGGUAAAAUCAAAAAGGAUGAACAGUUGGAAGAAUAAUUGGUACACAAGGAAGGAAGAAUGAUGUCCCCUUUUUGCUCUCCCUUCUCAACAUUUAUAGAACUGCAUGUAGUCAGGGACCUGGCACGUCCCUGACCACACUGUUGAUGCAGGGCAGGGAUCCUCAGAUACUGUCAGUGGGGCCCAAUCCAGUAGGCAAGAGACUGUCCUACCUCACCCCCUACAGGUGCGCAGAAAAGCAGCUUCAUGAUGACAAAAAAAAGAAAAAAGAAAAAGAA